UCACCCUACAUUUUUUUCUUUUUCAAUAAUCCAUUUAACUUGGCGAUAAUCACAAGUCACAGAAAUACAGCGAUAUGAGUGAAGAGCAGCAGUAUUCUUCGUCAGAGCAAAUGUGUGAAGGUGCAGUACGGUGUCAAUCAAAUUCCGCCCUCCUUGAUAAAACCCGGCAUGGAGGUCAAGGUGACAACAUUGCCAAGCUCUUUUUUACAUUACAUUUGCUUUCACCGGAUUAGAUACCCACUCAAAAUAUGCAAAUUCAGAGCUGUCAGCUCAAGAAGAUCUACAGCACUGAAAA